UACAGAGGUUGCAAGCGUUAAUCGGAUUUACUGGGCGUAAAGGGUGUGUAGGUGGUUUGGCAAGUCGGUUGUGAAAUCCCCGGGCUUAACCUGGGAAUUGCUUCCGAUACUGCCAGACUAGAGUACGGUAGAGGGCGGUGGAAUUUCCGGUGUAGCGGUGAAAUGCGUAGAUAUCGGAAGGAACACCAAUGGCGAAGGCAGCCGCCUGGGCCUGUACUGACACUGAGACACGAAAGCGUGGGGAUCAAACAGG
rnacentral:rRNA from 1 species